rnacentral:rRNA from 1 species
GAACGCAGUAGCAAUACUGAGUGGCAGACGGGUGAGUAACAUGUGGGAAUCUGCCUUGUGGUUCAGGACAACAUUGGGAAACCGAUGCUAAUACUGGAUAAGCCCUUACGGGGAAAGUUUUAAUGCCAUAAGAUGAGCCCGCAUUUGAUUAGUUAGUUGGUGAGGUAAUGGCUCACCAAGACAAUGAUCAAUAGCUGAUCUGAGAGGAUGAUCAGCCACACUGGGACUGAGACACGGCCCAGACUCCUACGGGAGGCAGCAGUGGGGAAUCUUGCACAAUGGAGGAAACUCUGAUGCAGCGAUGCCGCGUGAGUGAAGAAGGCCUUUGGGUUGUAAAGCUCUUUUGUAGGGGAAGAUAAUGACUGUACCCUAAGAAUAAGGUCCGGCUAACUUCGUGCCAGCAGCCGCGGUAAUACGAAGGGACCUAGCGUAGUUCGGAAUUACUGGGCGUAAAGCGCGCGUAGGCCGUUGAGUUAGUUAAUUGUGAAAUCCCAAAGCUUAACUUUGGAACUGCAAUUAAAACUGCUCGACUAGAGUUUGAUAGAGGAAAGCGGAAUACAUAGUGUAGAGGUGAAAUUCGUAGAUAUUAUGUAGAACACCAGUUGCGAAGGCGGCUUUCUGGAUCAACGCU